GGGUCAAGGCUUCGAACGCCUCCCAAGGAGGUGCAUCCCUGCAAGAGGCUGCAUCCAGCAGUCAUGGAAGAGGCUCCCCUGGGGCCUGCUCCAAUUCCUGCUGGGGAAAUCAAGUGGAGGUGCCCCUUGAAGAAAUGGUGAGGCCACCAAUUUCAGGGGUUCUGUCCUGGCCUGCGGCCCUGGAUCGUCCAGCCUCUGCUGGGAUGGGGAGCAGAUGACGCCCUUCUUGGCUGGAGCUGAGGGUGGGGGUCCCGCUUCCCCAAAGGCCUAGCCCUGGAUUCCAGCCACAGGUCCUACUGGGCAGCACCUGGCGCCGCCCCGCCCCUCCAGGCCUGGCACUCGCCCUUAAGAAACAUGGCGGCGAUGGCCUCACGCACCUCACGCCGCAGGCGCGUCACGCCACAGGCCAGCAAGGCUUCCUGUGUGCCACUCUCCUCCCCUCAGACUGGCUGCCAAAACAGGGAGCGGUAAGUAUGACCUGGCUGGUGGCGGUGUCCUGGGCGGCUCUGGGGCCGCUGUUGUGUGGCUGCCCGCAGGCGCUGCAGGGCGGGAUGCUGUACACCAGGGAGAGCGCGUCGCGGGAGCGCAAGGAACUCCAUGGCCUCUGAAGCUUCCAAGCCCACUUCUCCGACAACCGACGCCUGGGCUUCCAGGAGCAGAGGGGAUCCGCACUGUGGCUGUCACUGAGAGCCCAUUCCUCAUCAAUGGGAAACCUUUCUAUUUCCACGGAGUCAAGAAGCAUGAGGAUGUAGACGUGCACUGCGGCUCCUGGGUCCUCGUGGGGGCUGCUUCUGGUCACCUUCCACUUUUGCCUUCCCUGUGUCCUGCAGUUCAGGCCGAUGAGGCAAAUGAGCUUCCCUGUGGCAGCUCAGGAUGAUAAGGCAAAUGGCUCCAAACCACCCCACAGUGGAGCCGGUGGUUGGACUGGAGAGGGGGCUCAUGGUGUGGCUCUCCAGGGUCCUGGCUCUUGGAGAAAGUGCAACUUUGACAGGGACGGGUCACUGGGCUCUGCUGUCCCCUAUAUCCGAGGGAAGGACUUCAACUAUCUGCUGCUGGUGAAGGACUUCAACCUGCUUCGCUGCCUUGACACCAACGCCUUCCGCACACCCAGCCACUAUCCCUACGGGGAAGAGAUGUUGCAGAUGUGUGACUGCUCUUCAACAACGUGUCUAUGCAUCACUACACGUGGGUGA
rnacentral:lncRNA from 1 species